UACGGAGGAUCCAAGCGUUAUCCGGAUUUAUUGGGUUUAAAGGGUGCGUAGGUGGCCUGGUAAGUCAGGGGUGAAAGACGGUAGCUUAACUAUCGCAGUGCCUUUGAUACUGCCGGGCUCGAAUGAACUAGAGGUAGGCGGAAUGUGACAAGUAGCGGUGAAAUGCAUAGAUAUGUCACAGAACACCGAUUGCGAAGGCAGCUUACUAUGGUUUUAUUGACACUGAGGCACGAAAGCGUGGGGAUCAAACAGG
rnacentral:rRNA from 1 species